UCCUGUUUCUGACUUCCUGCAGUUCACUUACUUCCUUCUUGUAUUGUAAUAAGCAGAUGUUAGCGUCAGAGGAAUUUCAAAAGGCUGAAUUAAAAGCACACGAGCAGAGCCUCAGUAACCUCCACAUCGCUGUAAGACACGUGAUCAUGUUCUGAACGUCUCCUGAGAAGAGAAGUCCCUGUCCCGGUCUCGGUUCCCAGCGUGAGGUCAGUCCGAGAUAAAAGACACUUCCUGGUUGUUCUGAGUACAGUGCAUCCUGGGAAAAUGGGAAGAAGAAAGCAUUAAGUCUGAAGAACUUCCAGCUCCAUUCCUUCAGACUGCUUCCUCUGGUGGUUCCUGUUUAAAAACCUAGGGUUUAAUCACGGAAGAGGAUGCUGUCAAUGAGCAGGACUGAUGGAGAACACGAGAGCAAUCCAGAGCCUGUGUGUUUUGCUGAGAUGGAGGAUGAUGGAGGUUUUGUUUCUGACAGCUGUGAAUAAAUGUGUGUGAGUCACUCCGUUGAGGAACUUCUCUGGAGACUCUCUCGAGGAUGCUUAGUCAGCCUGUGAAUACAUCAGAUACAUGAGGUUCAAAAGUCAGGGAAUGAACCUGAAAUACACAGAAAGAUUGAGCGUCUGAUGUGAAACAUCUUCAUCGGCACUAAACCCACCGUCUCUUGAGGUUUUUAAUUGGGAAAUGAGAUCCGUUUGCUUGUCUCUGCUGCAAGGAAGCAUUGGUUUCCAUUUCAUUAAAAAGUCGUAUCUCGUUGUCUUCAUUAAGGAAAGUGACUGUGUUGGUUUUUGCUCUUUUGGUUCUGCUCCCAGCAGCUUGGACUAGAGAUUGAUCUGUAUUAUAUGUUUUAUCUCUCACUUCUGUCUCCAUCAGAGUCAGGAUGAUUUCUGCUUCACCGAAGCCCUGCUCUUUCUCCUUCAGCUGCUGGGAAACUUGACAUUAUCUGCUCAAUGUGACGCGACACAGAGCUUAACUACAGUCCUCUGAUGUUCCCGUCCACCGCCUGAAAGCCCUCACCUGUCAUCUACUUCUGACUCUUUACUGCGGCACUCUUUAACCUGAAGAAGAGGCAAAAGCAAGUGCGUUCUUAGACCUUUGCUUUAACAAUGAAGAUGGUUUCUUUAUUGCGAGUUUCCCCGGCUGUGUUUGGGAUCAGUACAUUUCAUCAUCAUCAUCAUCUUCAUCAUCGUCAUCAUCCUGGUACUAACGAGGGGCAGGACUGAUUUCUAAUUACCGGUGCACCUCCCUUUCUUCAUGUGUUCAGUACAUUCUAUUUUAUUCCACAUGAAUCUGAACAAGUUAGUUUGUAUUUUCUCUGUAUGUGUGGAUAGCGCAGGUUGUUAUCGGCACCUGGUGAAUAUUUCAAGUCAACAGCACCUUUCGAAGGGUAUUAACCGAGAAAAACGUUGACGCGUUCAGUCCUUGUUUUAUCUAAACGAGCUCCUGAAGGGCCGUGGAAGCAGCUGAUGCUCAGACUUAUUUGCAUCGGCCCACGCUCGGAUUCAACACAUGAGCGAGAGAAGAGCAGAGUCAGUCUCCUCUCAGUGACUCAUCACGCUGCUGCUGCCAACCGCUUCGUCUUGACAAGAGAGAGCGGAGGAGCUGAGGAUGAUGAGGAUGAAGAUCCCAGCAGGAGGUGUGUGUGUGAGAGACUGUCCUCUGGGCAUAUGUGCCCUCUCUCCAAACACUACAAACACGUCCAGCCCACGCUGAGUGGGAACACGCUAUUUACACGCCUGCAUGCCGCACGCUAUUUUUACACCCCAUGCAUAGGAUGAAGGAAGGAAGAGGAGGAGGACUGGCUAUUUAAGUCAGAAAGAGAGGAACGCAGAGGUCUUAUAAAACAACUGUAAAAGUCAAAAUACACUUCUGAUUGUUCCCUUAGCAUAUUUAUAUGAUGAUAUGUGACCCUGAAGCACCAAACCAGUCAUAUAAUGCUUUCUUAUUUUCAUUUUUUGAAUAAAUACUCUGGUUUGUUAUGAUUCAUACAACUAUUAGAAAAUCUGGAAUUUGAGGAAGCAAAAAAUCUUGAAAAAAAAUCACCUUUAAAGUUGUUCAAAUGAAGGUCUUAGCGGUGUAUAUUACUAAUCAGAAAUAAAGUUUUGAUAUAUUUAUGGAAGAAAACUGACUAAAUAUCAUCAUAGUACAGGAUCAUUACUUAAUAUCCUAAUGAUUUUUGGCACAAAAGAAAAAUGUGUAAUUUUGACCCAUACAGGAUCUAACGCUGUUCUUCAGAGACACGUAAACACAUGCUAACUAGCUGAGUAUUAAUUGGUUAGGAUUAGUGGAAUAAGUUGACAUGUAGCUGGAAACCUAAGUCUCCUCUUAAGUCUCUUUGGAUAAAAGUGUCUGCUAAAUGAACCAAUGAGAAUGAGUUCUUGGUCUAUUUCCACCUCUGUUCUUGUUCUGGAUGGUGUUUCUGGAUCAUAACUUCACUUCUUAUUGCCUUUUUUAAGAUGAAUCGCUUGUUGUUUUCAAAUAUUUCACCUGACUUUUCCUGUUUGUCUGAUUUAUGUUGCAGUGCUGUCAUAUACAACACACCAGAGAGAAAUGCUCAACUUUACUUCUUUCACUUCAUUUUUUCAUCAGUAUGCAAAAUUAAACCAACACUAGAUCUU